rnacentral:lncRNA from 1 species
UUGUUUAGUCCACACUCCUUCACUUGUAACCCAUAAAUCAAAAGACGUGUCAAUUCCUUCCGUUGGGUAAACAAUAGCACCAAGUGAUCCAUUAAACACCAAUAGAUUAACAUAGUAUUCUGGGAAAGACCCAACGAAUUCUGGGAUAGGUAAAAUUGAGAACUUCUCAUUCCCCAUGUCAAAUGAAAGAAUUAGUCCUCUAAAAUCAAGAUAUGCCCGUCUCUGUUUUCAUAUAGCAAAUUCCGUCUACAUAAUUAUUUCCCAAAGUUGUUCCAGUUGGUUUAUAAUCAGGACAUGGAAUUUCCUUCCAGGAAUUACUUCUAAGAGAAUACAACUCAACUUGGUACAUAAAAUGAGAAUGUGGAUAUUGUUCUUCACUAUUAACAAAAGUAAGAGUAACAAAUCGUAUGACUUUGUAGUCAUCAGUUUUAGAAUCAAACCCAAAAGAAGCGUGGUUAAAUUCAACGUGAUCUAAAGUAAGGUAGGUUUCUUCGAAUGGGGAAAAAUAUGGAGGGCGUUGGAUUGAAGAUGGUGGAAGGAUUUUAAACUCUCUGGUUGAUGGGUUCCAAAUGGCAGCCUUAUCCUUUGAAGGAUCAAGUAAACACAACAAUCCAUGACAAGCACCAUAAACAGAGGGGCGAUCAUUCUUAAAAAAGGGCAAGUGAAUGUUUUGUUUUACUAUAUAAUUUUGAUAUUUUUCAUUUGAAAGUUGAGAGAAAUAACGUUGGAAGGUGUUACCAUCACAGCGACUAAGCAGUAGAUUAAGGUUGUUGUUUUCAAGGUUGUUGUGAUAAUUAUUGGAAAUGAAAUGAGGAGUUUGAAAAGAAGAACACCAAUACUUACAAACACAGUUGAAGCGAGUAAGGGAUUUAACUGGCAGCUUUGACAGAAUUUCCAUAACCAAAGCUUCUGGCAAUUCAAACCUUGGCCUCUGCAUCUUGCUAUUUUGAUUUUCUUUGUAAUUGGGUAAGAGGAAUGAAUAAAAUGGGAGUUGGUAGGUGUCAUCUAUGGUCCAAACCUUAACCAGGAAGCAAAGAAGCAUAAAAGGUAAGCAUUUGAUAGGUUAUAAUAAUUAUAUGGAAUUUAGGAAAAUUUACUUAUUUGCAUUUGUAUCCAUGUGAGGAAGGAUUAAGAUCAAAUAUAAUAUAAUACGUACUUUUUGAAUUUAAUCCCCAAUUUUUAAAAGAAUAAAUUUAAAGGAUAUCACAUUUAUUUACUUUUUGUAUAUUUGAAAUUUAAUACUUAAUUUUUAUUUUAAAGAAUUCAAUCUCUCUAUUUUUUAAAAGCCAAAAACAGUGAUGUAGUUUUUUUUUUCACACGGCAAUCAAAAAAAAAAAUUUAAAGGUAGUUUUUUUUUCUCGUUUCUGCUCUUUUUCUUUUUUUCGUCUGUUCUAUUUUACUUGCGUUUUUUUUUUUGAGUUUUUUCUUUUCUUCUUUCGACAUACAUAUAUCUACAUUUUUUUAAAAAAAAGAACAGUUUAUAUAUAUACAUACACAAAAAAAUAAAAAUAAAAAAACUCACCUUUGAACUUUCCGGACUCGGCUACGUCGGCCGGUGCGGCGGAGACAAGGCGGCCCUUUGGCCGGAAUCUGGAUUUCAUCCAGAGAAAAGAGACCCCCUUUUCCCUUUUUUUGGUUUCUUUACAGACUGCCGGGAAUGAUUUCUUUUCCUCAAAAGUUGUCUUUUAUAGCCCCCCCCCCAACACCCCAGCAAAACGAUGUCGUUUUGGUUGGCGUACUUGAGCAAGAAACGACGUCGUUUUGGCCUUAGGAUCCGCUUGUGACCCGACCCGCAAAGAGGAUCCGCGUGUCACCAUUUAGGGGGAUAUCUUCACAAUUGGUGCCUCCACUUUUGUCUCGCUUUCAAUGUAGUUUUUUCAUAUAUUUUUAAUUUUGGCUACAUAAUUUUUCGUCUGUUUUAAUUUGGUCCCCAGACCAUGCACACGCGCCUCACUAGAACGAUGCCGUUUGGUCAGUUAGGGAGUAUUUCCGUUUUUGCUCCUCUUCCUUUCACGCGUGUUGUGAUUUAGUCCUUUUUGUGCUUUUUAUUGUUAAUUUCGACCCUAAAACCUUGUUUAUUUUCAAUUUAAUCCUUAAUCUGCUAUUUUAGUUAUUUUUCCUGUUAAAUUAAUUAUUUUAACAUUAUUAAAACUAUUAUAUUGCAUAAUUAUUAUUUAUUAUUAAUAUUAUUAUCCUUAUCUCGUUUGUACCUUUUUAUUCUAAAAUUUUGUUAUAUAUAUAUAUACAUAUCCGCAUAUGCUUUUCUAAUAUAUAUAUGUAUAUUUUUAAGGUUAUUAUAAAUAUACUUUUAUAUUUCAUUUUUUAUACUUAUAUCUAUAUCCACGUAUUUUAAUUUAUAUACAUAUAGAUUUUAUAUAUACUUAUUAUAAUUUUUUUAUUGUCAUAAAUACAUACACAUGUACACAUACUUUUAUAUGUUCUUCUAUAUUCCAUAAUUCUUAUAUACAUCCAUAUACAUAUGUAUAUUUUAAUCUACAUACAUAUAUGUAUAUAUACACAUACGACAUAUAUUUCUAUUUUAUAAUUUUAAAAUAAAUAUAUAUAUAUCUAUAUAUUCUUCUUAUUUUUAUAUACACAUGCAUAUAUUUUAUAUUUCCUUUAUUGUUUCGUUGUUUCGCGUAAUGUCAACCUUUUUAUGCCUAUUUUAUUUUAAAAGCAUUUUAAUUCGACUCUUUUAUUUACUAUUUAUCUUACAUUAAUUAAUUUGUCUCUGUAUUUAUUUUGCUACGUACAAAAUCGUGCUACAUUUUACCCGAUUCAUUAAAAAUGAUGUUUUAAACAAGCAAUAUUCAUAUUUUGAAAUUCGAAAAGUCGUUCCCUAACUUACGGGGUUUCGACUUUCUAAAAAAAAUCCAAAUACCGAACAUUUUUAAGCAUAAAUUUUAAAUAAUCUCAAGAAUUACUAAAAGAUCGUGUUCUAACUUAGGGAAUAUGAUUUUUUUCUAAAACCGAUAUAGUCAAACAUCUUUUAAAAUAAAUUUUUCGGCGUUUAUUUGUGCAUCAAGAAUUUAAGACAUUGUGUCCUAAUUCACGGGACGCGAUUCAUUUUCUCGAUUAACGUAAAAUAUGUCCAUUUGUCAACUUUUUAAUAUUUUAACAAGGGAUCGUAUUUUAAAUCUCUUUAAAGUUUUCAAUUUUUGACGAGACACUAAUUAAUCAACUAAGUACCAAUUUUGGGCGCGGGGGUGCUAAUUAGAGGUGAUCAUGGGUUGGGCAGUCCGGCCCGGCCCGAUGGCCCACCCAAAAUAUGAGAGGGUUUGGGUAAAAAUAUAGGCCCGAAAUAUGGGUUUGGGCAAAAAAUGAGGCCCGUUGGCAAAACUUUUUUGGUCCAGGCCUGGCCCGAAUAUAUAAUAAAUAUAUAUUUUUAUUUUUAAAAUACAUUUUCCAUUUCCCCAUUUCCCCAUUUCCCAUUAGACAUUUAGUAUUUAUAUAAUAAAUAUAUAUUUUUUAUUUUUUAAUUUUAAAGUAUUUUUAAAAUACUUCUUUUAUUUUUUAUUUUUAAGAUACAAUUUUGUUGUUUAUUAAAAAAAGGGUCGGGCUCGGGCUUAGGAUUUUUUCUCGGGCCAGGCUUGGACAAAAUUUCAGGCCCAUAUUUUGGGCUAGGCCGGGCCCAGGCCUAGGACGCGGGCCAAAAAAAAAUUUAGGCCUGGCCCAGCCCAUGAUCACCUUUAGUGCUAAUCCUUCCUUGUACGUAACCGACGCCCGAACUCGUGCUUAUGUGGCACGGCACAUAGGCUACUUUGUUGACCUAUGGUUUGACCGACGAUCAACUCACAUUUUCUGUUAAAAUUGGGCUAAUUUAUUAAAAAAUUGUACCGUUAACGGUGUCAAUCCAAAAAAAAAAAGGUUAAUGGCUCAAACCCAAAAACUCAAAAAAUUGAGUGUUUUUUCGACAAUUAUGCGAAAUUCUUUGUUAAAUUUGUUGGUUUGAUAUUCUUUCAAAAGUACAUUAUAAUGCCUUUUUUUUUAACCCAAACCCAAACUUUUGAAAUCAAAUACUAUUUUGAGAGGGAAAAUAUUUGAUUUUUUUUUUUGUUCAAUUGCUUGAAUCUGGUUGGAUAGUUUCUAUUUUCGUUUUAUUAAAUUUCCUUUUUCUCUGUUUGAAGGCGACUUUAAAGAAAAGAGUAACAUGCGAAGGAAUUGCAUUGGACUUUGCAAAGAUCAUAAAACACACAUUAAAAAUAUGUAUUAUUAGUUCUGUUGGACUUAAAGAUUUUGGGUUGUAACACUAGUAGAAAUUAUAUAAAGAAAGAUAUUGAAUGUUAUGGGAUUGGGUUUGGGUUAUUUUAAAUCUAUAUUCAGAUUAAUGUUAUUUUAAAAUCGAAUAAUUUUGAGUUUAAAUCAUUCAAAGUUGUUGAUCGGAUUUUAUAAAGAUAAAAAAACAUAUUGAAAAUAUGUAAUAUUAAUUGGAUUAUUUUAAACUAUGACAUAAAUACUUGAGUCUCAAAAUAAACACUAGCUCAAUAAAACGCAUAUGAUAAUUUAGAGUACUGUAAUAAAAUACAUAUUGAUAAUUCAGAUAUUACAUUAAACAUUUUUAAACAUACAUGAGACAAUUGUGGUAAAGCUGGCUAUGGUAAUUUUAUGGUAUCGGAUCCAUUACUGCAUAGGCCGUAAAAUAAGUUGGAACAAUUUUGGGGAGUUCCAAAGGUAUGGGAUGGCCCCGGUCUUCCAUAACAAAUAAACAUCUCCCCGAGUAGUAGAACUCUAGUUCUUCUGUGUUUACUGCAUGAAAUUUGUGGAGAUGCUCCUAUAAGUCGGAAAACUAUGUCCGCAACUUGUCGGACCGUAUAGGUGGAUCUAGGUGUGAGUCCCAUAGCUAAAUCCCAAAAUUCAUUAAAACAAAUAAGAGACAAUAAAGUAUAUUAAACACAAAUCUGAAUGUGAAGAAAAAAUAAAAACAAUUUAUUCGAUAUACCCGGAUCUAAAUUUGUCCUAAGUUGUAUGGCCGAUUGGAAGUAUGCCAGAGGAUAUGGUGCAAAGUCGGAACAUGUGCCAUGUUUUGUCCAUUCGUUGUGCAAAAAGCUAAUGUCUAACUUUCCCAAUAUCAAGUUUGGCCAUAGUCGGGGCAAGUCUACCCAAAGAACUGGAUCACUUUUCAGCAAACUCUUUGAAAUUAAAAACAAAAAUCUGGUUAGAUGACAGAUAAUUUACUUAAUAGUUUUAGGCGAAGAAUGUACGUAUGCGUACUUCGAGUUUCUUCUUAUCUAGAUUAGGAUUCGGAUUGUUGCAAAGAUUACUUGGACCAUACUGGGUCACCGGCUUGUCAUUAGCAUCUUGUGCCCAAAUUCCAUGUAUUGUAAAUUCUGUUGGGAUAGGGGUUUUACAUCUCGAAGUAGAGCUGCAAACUGAUGGAGGCCAUUGAAGUGCCAGCUUGUAGAAGUGCGGAAUUGCUGGUUGCUGAGGUACUGCAAAUGCUACCCAUAAUGAAAAAUUGAUACAAUGCAUUUUUACAAAUUUACAAAUAAAAAGAGAACUACUCCAUAUAUAAAUAUUACAUGCAUGGAUGAUUGGGCUGAGAUUGGAUGAUUGUGCUUUGCGAGUAGCUGGUUUAUGAUCUCCUUUAUAAUCUUGGCGCACAUAUUUCACAAAAUUUUCAAAGUCCUGCAACCAUGAAAUAAAUAUUGAGGUUACUUAUCACAAAGUGUUACUUCACAAUCACACCAAGAGAGAAAUAAACAAACUCACUUGUCUGAGUGGCUGAUUAUUCACCACCACCCAUGGCACAUCUUCUUGAGGUGGCUUCAGAUGUGCAGUCUCGUUAGCAUAUUGCAGCAGAAGCUGCAUUUCAUUAAUUUGGAAAAUCAAUGUUAGAAAAAGCUAAGAAGUGUUAAUUAAAUACUAAGACAUGCAGCCAACCUUAUAUCCAAAUCCAGUAGUAUAGCAUUUGUUGAUUAUCUCCUCAUUCAAUCUCAGCUUUUCACUGCAAUUUUUCCACAGUGCUUCAACGGGCCCCCCCUUUAAGCUUUGUUGCUCUGUGCAGCGAAUGAAUUCCAAGUGCUCUUUCUGCACCACAGUAGAGUAAUUAAACACGAGUUGGAGAUGAGUACAAAUACUUAUGGCUCAUAGCAGUUACUGCAUCAGGCCAUAAAUGGAUGACACAACUAUGUAUAGUGUUUAAGUGACGUUCUUCUUCUCCAUGUUGCACAUUAUCGCAAAAACUAUAAUUAGUUAUAACACCAAAAAGAACUAGAACUUCAUUAGUUAAUAAUGAUAAUACAUUAAAAUGAAGAACGGAGUAGUAAACCUGGCAAUGGAUUUCAGCAUUGCCCCAAGGGACCAAUCUUAGAUUGGUAAUGGUAUGGAGGUCAGUGCGGAAGACCUUGACUAGGCUAUUGGAGAUAAGCGAGAAUAUUGCAAGAGCAGCCAGAAUAUAGAAGAUUAAUGGUUGAAGAUAAGCCAUUGUUUCAGUGGUAGCUUUUGCACAAUGCUAGACCUCCAUUGUGCAAGGCUUCUUAUAGUUGAGAAUUGGGAUGCUGAGUAUUGCUUUCUGUCACGUUCAGAAACCAUGAGACAAAUUUACAAAGUUAUCAUCUUUAAAAAAACAAUUAUACACCACUUUAAAAAAAAAUUAUUUACAUGAAAGCUUGUUUAUCUAUUUAUGUAUGAAUAUUGUCUAAACAUGAAAGGAGAAAUCUUAUUAGAUAAUAGAGUUUUAUAAUAACUUAUAAUUUAAAUUAAGUUAUUAACGUAUUUACUGAAUCAUUGGCCUUCUAAAAUGCUUUUAGAUAUCAAAUCCUCUUCGACUUGCAAUUUUUUUCUGCAGAAAACAAUAUCAACAUCUAAGCAAUCUUAUAGAUAUCUAAGCAACAAAAACCAAACAUAAACUGAACAAUUCUCCAAAUACAGAAACCAGGAAAUAGUUAACAUCUCAAACAUAUAACCCAAACAAUUAUAGCAAUAUUAAGAAGCUCACAACAAAAAAUUCCUAUUACAUCUUACACAUAUAUGUUCCAGCUCCACAUCCCUCUUCAUAUUCAGUAUCCAUUUCAUGCCUUCUUCAUAUUUAGUAUUCAUUUGAUGCAUCUCUCGCUGGUUGACGUAUUACAUGUUUCUCAAUAUUCUCUUGUAUUCCAUUGAUACGAACCAGGCUCUCUAAAUAAGCAUGAAGGGAGAUGGUGAACCGAAAAUGAUCUAGGUAAGUAUUAAUCUCAAGCUCCUUAAGCUCUUGGGUGGAGGCGUCAAAUAGGAGUACUUCAUCAUUUGUGUCUGUAAGAAACAAGUCACCAUUUUUUCCAAAUCCCAAUGGGUGUACAACUCCAGAAAUGGAUUGUUUAGUCCACACUCCUUCACUUGUAACCCAUAAAUCAAAAGACGUGUCAAUUCUUUCCGUUGGGUAAACAAUAGCACCAAGUGAUCCAUUAAACACCAACAGAUUAACAUAGUAUUCUGGGAAAGACCCAACGAAUUCUGGGAUAGGUAAAAUUGAGAACUUCUCAUUCCCCAUGUCAAAUGAAAGAAUUAGUCCUCUAAAAUCAAGAUAUGCCCGUCUCUGUUUUCAUAUAGCAAAUUCCGUCUACAUAAUUAUUUCCCAAAGUUGUUCCAGUUGGUUUAUAAUCAGGACAUGGAAUUUCCUUCCAGGAAUUACUUCUAAGAGAAUACAACUCAACUUGGUACAUAAAAUGAGAAUGUGGAUAUUGUUCUUCACUAUUAACAAAAGUAAGAGUAACAAAUCGUAUGACUUUGUAGUCAUCAGUUUUAGAAUCAAACCCAAAAGAAGCGUGGUUAAAUUCAACGUGAUCUAAAGUAAGGUAGGUUUCUUCGAAUGGGGAAAAAUAUGGAGGGCGUUGGAUUGAAGAUGGUGGAAGGAUUUUAAACUCUCUGGUUGAUGGGUUCCAAAUGGCAGCCUUAUCCUUUGAAGGAUCAAGUAAACACAACAAUCCAUGACAAGCACCAUAAACAGAGGGGCGAUCAUUCUUAAAAAAGGGCAAGUGAAUGUUUUGUUUUACUAUAUAAUUUUGAUAUUUUUCAUUUGAAAGUUGAGAGAAAUAACGUUGGAAGGUGUUACCAUCACAGCGACUAAGCAGUAGAUUAAGGUUGUUGUUUUCAAGGUUGUUGUGAUAAUUAUUGGAAAUGAAAUGAGGAGUUUGAAAAGAAGAACACCAAUACUUACAAACACAGUUGAAGCGAGUAAGGGAUUUAACUGGAAGCUUUGACAGAAUUCCCAUAACCAAAGCUUCUGGCAAUUCAAAUCUUGGCCUCUGCAUCUUGCUAUUUUGAUUUUCUUUGUAAUUGGGUAAGAGGAAUGAAUAAGCAAGCAAAAUGGGAGUUGGUAUGGUCCAAACCUUAACCAGGAAGCAAAGAAGCAUAAAAGGUAAGCAUUUGAUAGGUUAUAAAAAUUAUAUGGAAUUUAGGAAAAUUUACUUAUUUGCAUUUGUAUCCAUGUGAGGAAGGAUUAAGAUCAAAUAUAAUAUAAUACAUACUUUUUGAAUUUAAUCCCCAAUUUUUAAAAGAUUAAAUUUAAAGGAUAUCAC